CCCUUAGACGUUCUGGGCCGCACGCGCGCUACACUGAACAGUUCAACAAGUCUUAACCUUGGCCGAUAGGUCUGGGUAAUCUUUGAACGCUGUUCGUGACUGGGAUAGACCUUUGCAAUUAUGGGUCUUCAACGAGGAAUUCCUAGUAAACGCAAGUCAUCAGCUUGCAUUGAUUACGUCCCUGCCCUUUGUACACACCGCCCGUCGCACCUACCGAUUGAAUGGUCCGGUGAAAUCUCGGGACGGCGGCUUGGUCGCUUGCGUCCGACUGCUGAAACUUGAUUAAACCAUAUCAUUUAGAGGAAGGUGAANUCGUAACA
rnacentral:rRNA from 1 species